CCUGUAUUCAUAAACUCAAAAUUACUACAACUAGGAUCAGCAGUUCUGAAUUCCUUAUAAGACUGAGGGAGGUGUUGUUGUUCUUUGAUUCCAAGAAUGGGAUUUGAGUUUUUUGCAGAGACUGAUAAGACACCACAAAUUUGUUUUACUUCCUUUCACAGACACAUAAGCCUUUGGCUCAAGUCUUCCUGCACAUUUGUAGUUUAAAGCAAUGAAGUUAAAAUGGGAUGGGCUAAAAUACAAAGAUUGCUUUAAAGUCCCAGAGGAAAAACCAAAGAGGAGGAAGAGCUCAUGGUUACCAUAAAGUUUAAUUUCUACUGUCUUUCACUUGAAAACCAGUACUGUAGUUUUUCAUAAUAUUUUAUCUGCAUUGUAAG